UACGUAGGGUGCGAGCGUUGUCCGGAAUUAUUGGGCGUAAAGGGCUCGUAGGCGGUUUGUCGCGUCGGGAGUGAAAACUCAGGGCUUAACCCUGAGCCUGCUUCCGAUACGGGCAGACUAGAGGUAUGCAGGGGAGAAUGGAAUUCCUGGUGUAGCGGUGAAAUGCGCAGAUAUCAGGAGGAAGACCAGUGGCGAAGGCGGAUCUCUGGACAGCUCCUGACGCUGAGGCGCGAAGGCUAGGGGAGCAAACGGG
rnacentral:rRNA from 1 species